GUUUAAACUGGAUGCCAUUGCCUUAACCCUUUCUGCUCUUCUCUUUAUUUGAGGUCUGCCUGUGUGAAGAGGAGGUGCAGUGCACCUUGGCAGUGCAGGCUGUGGGUGUCUGACCAAUAGUGUUUUGGAGAGGAGGGGCAUUGUUUCUCUCUGCACAUGUUCAGAGGAGAGUCAAACCUGACAGCGACCGUGAAAAGCCUGGAGUUUUCAGCCUGCUAGGCAAGCGGUGGUGCCAUAGAGAUUCGGAUCGGGUCCCAGCUCUUCUAUUCUUGAAGCACCCCUGCCCCCUAUACUCUCAUCCUGCAGAGAAAUACUGCUGUACGCUGUGCCUCUUUCCAGCAAGAAAGGUUUCUUCAUCUACUCUAGGCUGCAUUUUAGCAUUUACCCCAAGGCCUAUUAUAAAUGGACAGAAAAUUAAAUUUUUCUUUUUCCUCUUAGGGAGAGAAAACCUAACUAAAUUUCCAACUUAUGACAGUGUAUGUUCCACGUUUUCAUUGUAUCAUGGUCAUGUGUAG
rnacentral:lncRNA from 1 species